AAAGUUCAAAUAAACAACUUAACAUUACACCACAAGGAACUAGAAAAAGAAGAAACUUAGCUGAAAUUUAGUAGAGGAAGGAAAUAGCAAAGAAAAAUCUGAAAUAAAUAAAGUAGAGACCAGAAUAAACAGUAACAUAACAUUGAAAGUUAUGACCAGUUAUUCCAAAAAAUAAAAUUGGCAAUGCUCUAAAGUAUAUUAACUCAAGGGAAGGAGAAGUCUCAGAAACCAAAAUGAGAAAUGGAAGGCAAAACCAUACAACACGUAACCACAGAAAUACGUAGUGUGAUAAUAAAUCACUAUAAACAAUCAUAUCCUCACAAAUCAGAUAACUUAUGGAGAAAAACAGGUAAUCCCUAAAAACAUAUAAGUUACCAAAAUGGAAUCAUGAAUCUAGAAUCCAAGAAACAGGAAAUCUUCUUAGAUCAAUAACAAGAAUGAAAGUUGAAUUAGGAAUCAAAAAUCUCACAUAUUGAUGAAUUCUACCAAACAUUUAAAAAAGAAAUUAAUGAUGGUCUUUAUCAAAAUAUUGCAAAUCAUGGAAUAGAGAGAACACAGUCAAAACCAUUCCAUGAGGCCAAUACUACCCUAAUAUCAAAGCAAGAUAAAAACAAGUACAGAAAAGUCUAGUCUGUGGGACGUCCGGGUGGUCAGUGGUUAAGCAUCUGCCUUCAGCCCAGGGUGUGAUCCUGGAGACCCAGGUUCGAGUCCCACAUCGGGCUUCCCGCGUGGAGCCUGCUUCUCCCUCUGCCUAUCUCUCUGCCUCUCUUUCUGUGUGUCUCUCAUGAAUAAAUAAAUAAAUAAAUAAAUAAAUAAAUAAAUAAAUAAAUAAAUAAAAUCUUAAAAAAAAAAAGUCUAGUCUGUCUAAUCUAAGUAUUGCUACUACAACUUUCUUUUGACAUCCACUUGCAUGGUAACUGUUUCUCCAUGCAAAAUUUCUCCAACCUGCAUGUGUCUUUAGGUCUACAAUUAGUCUUCUGUAGGCAGCAUUUAGAUGAGUCUUGUUUUUUUUUUAUCCAUUUCGAGAUCAAACACUUUUGAUUGGAGUGUUUAGUCCAUUUACAGUCAAAGGAAUUCUUGAUAGAUUAUGUAUUUAUUGUCAUUUUAUUACUUGUUUUGCCAUUGUUUCUGGAGCCUUUCUCUGUUCCUUCCUUGUCUUUAUCACUUUUAGUCCCUCCUUUGCACUCAGAGCCCUCCUUUAAUAUAUUUUGCAGGCUGGUUCAGUGAUCACAAACUCCUUUAGUUUUUGUUUGUCUGGGAAACUCUUUAUCCCUCCUUCUAUUCUGAGUGAUAGCCUUACUGGAUAGAGUAUUUUUGGCUGCAGAUUUUUCCCAUUCAGCACUUUGAAUAUAUCAUGUCCUCCUUUCUAUUUAAUCUAAAAAAAAAAAACCAACAAUUCAGAAGUAUAUAGAAUAAAAAUUGAAUAUCCUUUACCCUAAAGAAAUUUUACCUUUGAAAGUUUUUUGAAAAAAUAUUUCAUCAACCUUUUAGUUUUCAUUGCCAUUUGAAAGAUGGUGAGAAUCCUGCUGACAUCCUGGUGAAAGUUUGCAACCUGAGCAUUUGAAGCAAGCACAUUGUCAUGUCUUUUAUCCACAGAUUCUUUCAGGUUGACUCCUAGGCAUGGUGGCAGGACAAGAACACAAGUUUCUGGUCUGGGAGCUUCCAUACAGGUGUCAGGGAUUUGUCAUACAUGAAUGCAAGGCAGAGGAACUUAAAGUUUCCCUUUAGGAAUAACCAUUCUCAUAACCAAGCAAUAAAAAAAAAAUACUCCUGUGGAAUAAGCCUGUGGUCACAGUGUGAUGUACUUUGUUGUUGGGAGGAGUGCAAUGAGAGGGGCUUAUGGUUUCAGUGCCCUUUAAAAUGAAAAAGAUGACAUUAGGCUUUCAAAGUGGAGUUUCUUUCUGAGGUUCCAUUUCUAGACUUGUCAGUAUGGAAAAGUAGCAAGACUUAUAGGAAAUAGUGUUGAUCAUUGCCGAAGAUCUCUGCUGAAAUUAUUAUUGCUAAAAAGUUUUUAUAAAAGACCUAUUAGAGUUCUUGGUUUCUAGCCAACAGGAGCUUAUAGUUUCUUUCUACACCAAUGGCAGCAGAUAUUGAGGACAUGUUUACAGCAUAGAAAGUGUUGAACGAAUUUAUGGCUGUGCAUUGUAUACAGGAAGAAUUAAGUGUAUGCUGGAUGGUGGAAUAACCACGAUAAUAUUUAGGAACUUCAUUUAAAAAAAUUCUUUUAUUUGUUAUCCUUUCCUUCUUUGCUUAAAGAAAAGAUUAGGCCAGCUUUUAGGGUUGUGUUUCAGUUAUCUACUGCAGUGUAACAAAGCACUCUGAAACUUAAUGGCUUAAAAUAAUAGCAACUGUCUAUGGACUGGACUCAAGUGGGUGGUUCUUCUGCUGGUCUUGUCUGGGGUUAUGCAGCUUCAGUUAUCUGGAGGUUAUCUAG
rnacentral:lncRNA from 1 species